AUUGAACGCUGGCGGCAUGCUUUACACAUGCAAGUCGAACGGCAGCACGGGGGCAACCCUGGUGGCAAGUGGCGAACGGGUGAGUAACACAUCGGAACGUACCCAGUUGUGGGGGAUAACCUACCGAAAGGUAGGCUAAUACCGCAUGAGCUCGGGAGAGGAAAGCGGGGGAUCGUAAGACCUCGCGCGAUUGGAGCGGCCGAUGUCCGAUUAGCUAGUUGGUGGGGUAAAGGCCUACCAAGGCGACGAUCGGUAGCUGGUCUGAGAGGAUGAUCAGCCACACUGGGACUGAGACACGGCCCAGACUCCUACGGGAGGCAGCAGUGGGGAAUUUUGGACAAUGGGGGCAACCCUGAUCCAGCCAUGCCGCGUGAGUGAAGAAGGCCUUCGGGUUGUAAAGCUCUUUCGGUGGGAACGAAAUGGCCCGUGCUAACACCAUGGGUCGAUGACGGUACUCACAGAAGAAGCACCGGCUAACUACGUGCCAGCAGCCGCAGUAAUAC
rnacentral:rRNA from 1 species